UACGGAGGGUGCGAGCGUUGUCCGGAAUCACUGGGCGUAAAGGGCGCGUAGGCGGCUCAUGAAGGCUGUGGUGAAAGUCCGGGGCUCAACCUCGGAUCGGCCGUGGCGACUCGUGGGCUGGAGCACUGUAGAGGCGGGUGGUAUUCCGGGUGUAGCGGUGGAAUGCGUAGAGAUCCGGAAGAACACCAGUGGCGAAAGCGGCUCACUGGACCACAACUGACGCUGAGGCGCGAAAGCUAGGGGAGCAAACAGG
rnacentral:rRNA from 1 species